rnacentral:rRNA from 1 species
GACGAACGCUGGCGGCGUGCUUAACACAUGCAAGUCGAACGGAAAGGCCCUGCUUUUGUGGGGUGCUCGAGUGGCGAACGGGUGAGUAACACGUGAGUAACCUGCCCUUGACUUUGGGAUAACUUCAGGAAACUGGGGCUAAUACCGGAUAGGAGCCCCUGCUGCAUGGUGGGGGUUGGAAAGUUUCGGCGGUUGGGGAUGGACUCGCGUCUUAUCAACUUGUUGGUGGGGUAGUGGCUUACCAAGGCUUUGACGGGUAGCCGGCAUGAGAGGGUGACCGGCCACAUUGGGACUGAGAGACCGCACAGACUUCUACGGGAGGCAGCAGUGGGGAAUAUUGCACAAUGGGCGGAAGCCUGAUGCAGCAACGCCGCGUGCGGGAUGACGGCCUUCGGGUUGUAAACCGCUUUCGCCUGUGACGAAGCGUGAGUGACGGUAAUGGGUAAAGAAGCACCGGCUAACUACGUG